rnacentral:rRNA from 1 species
ACGAACGCUGGCGGCGUGCCUAAUACAUGCAAGUAGAACGCUGAAGAGAGGAGCUUGCUCUUCUUGGAUGAGUUGCGAACGGGUGAGUAACGCGUAGGUAACCUGCCUUGUAGCGGGGGAUAACUAUUGGAAACGAUAGCUAAUACCGCAUAACAAUGGAUGACACAUGUCAUUUAUUUGAAAGGGGCAAUUGCUCCACUACAAGAUGGACCUGCGUUGUAUUAGCUAGUAGGUGAGGUAACGGCUCACCUAGGCGACGAUACAUAGCCGACCUGAGAGGGUGAUCGGCCACACUGGGACUGAGACACGGCCCAGACUCCUACGGGAGGCAGCAGUAGGGAAUCUUCGGCAAUGGGGGCAACCCUGACCGAGCAACGCCGCGUGAGUGAAGAAGGUUUUCGGAUCGUAAAGCUCUGUUGUAAGUCAAGAACGAGUGUGAGAGUGGAAAGUUCACACUGUGACGGUAGCUUACCAGAAAGGGACGGCUAACUACGUGCCAGCAGCCGCGGUAAUACGUAGGUCCCGAGCGUUGUCCGGAUUUAUUGGGCGUAAAGCGAGCGCAGGCGGUUUGAUAAGUCUGAAGUUAAAGGCUGUGGCUCAACCAUAGUUCGCUUUGGAAACUGUCAAACUUGAGUGCAGAAGGGGAGAGUGGAAUUCCAUGUGUAGCGGUGAAAUGCGUAGAUAUAUGGAGGAACACCGGUGGCGAAAGCGGCUCUCUGGUCUGUAACUGACGCUGAGGCUCGAAAGCGUGGGGAGCGAACAGGAUUAGAUACCCUGGUAGUCCACGCCGUAAACGAUGAGUGCUAGGUGUUGGAUCCUUUCCGGGAUUCAGUGCCGCAGCUAACGCAUUAAGCACUCCGCU